rnacentral:rRNA from 1 species
AGAGUUUGAUUAUGGCUCAGGACGAACGCUGGCGGCAUGCCUAACACAUGCAAGUCGAACGGAGUUAUUAUUCAGAAGUUCUUCGGGAUGGAAGGAUAAGAACUUAGUGGCGGACGGGUGAGUAACGCGUGGGUAACCUGCCCUUUUGUGGGGAACAACUUCGAGAAAUCGGAGCUAAUACCGCAUAAUAAUAGAGGAUCGCAUGAUUCUUUAAGGAAAGAUGGCCUCUGAAGAUGCUAUCGCAAAAGGAUGGACCCGCGUCUGAUUAGCUAGUUGGAAGGGUAACGGCCUACCAAGGCAACGAUCAGUAGCCGGCCUGAGAGGGUGAACGGCCACAUUGGGACUGAGACACGGCCCAAACUCCUACGGGAGGCAGCAGUGGGGAAUCUUCCGCAAUGGGCGAAAGCCUGACGGAGCAAUGCCGCGUGAGUGAAGAAGGCCUUCGGGUUGUAAAACUCUGUCCUUAUCGAAGAGAGGUAGGUAUGUGAAUAAUGUACCUAUAGGACGGUAGAUAAGGAGGAAGCCCCGGCUAACUACGUGCCAGCAGCCGCGGUAAUACGUAGGGGGCGAGCGUUGUCCGGAAUCACUGGGCGUAAAGGGCGCGUAAGCGGUUUAAUAAGUC